rnacentral:lncRNA from 1 species
CCUGCAGGAUGUUUCCUCAAUGAGGGGAAGGCUGCUGCACAAUGGCAGUUUUUGAUACUCCUGAGGAGGCCUUUGGUGUCUUACGUCCAGUCUGUGUUCAGCUCACAAAGACCCAGACAGUGGAGAAUGUGGAGCAUCUGCAGACACGACUACAAGCUCGGCUUUCCAAAGCACUCAUCCAAGUUCUAGAGCUAGACGUGGCUGACAUCAAGAUUGUUGAGGAACGGCGUUGGAACUCUGAUGAUCUGAAUGCUUCUCCAAAGACCUCAGCCACACAGCCUUGGAACCGCAUCCAGAGGAGAUAUUUCCGCUUCUUCACUGAUGAGAGAAUCUUCAUGCUCUUGAGGGGCUGCUGGGCUGGAGGUUGAGGAUCUUCACGAAAAACAUAUUAAAACAAACCCAGAAGAACUGAGAGAGAUUGUGACAUCUAUACUUGAAGAAUACACAAGUCAAGAAAAUUGGUAUUUGGUUACCUGUCUUGAAACUGAGGAAAUGGGAGAGGAGCUGAUGAUGGAGCACCCAGGCCUCCAAGCCAUCACGUCUGGUGAACACACCUGCCAAGUUACAUCUUUUCUAGCCUUCUCAAAGCCAAGUCCCACUAUUUGCUCCAUGAACAGUAACAUCUGGCAAAUAUGCAUUCAGUUGGAAGGAAUUGGCCAGUUUGCAUAUGCACUAGGAAAAGACUUCUGUUUGCUCUUGAUGUCAGCCCUUUAUCCAGUACUGGAGAAGGCUGGAGACCAAACCCUACUCAUUAGUCAGGU